CCUACGGGAGGCAGCAGUGGGGAAUAUUGCACAAUGGGGGCAACCCUGAUGCAGCGACGCCGCGUGAGUGAAGAAGUAUUUCGGUAUGUAAAGCUCUAUCAGCAGGGAAGAAAAUGACGGUACCUGAGUAAGAAGCCCCGGCUAACUACGUGCCAGCAGCCGCGGUAAUACGUAGGGGGCAAGCGUUAUCCGGAUUUACUGGGGGUAGAGGGAGCGUAGACGGCAGUGCAAGUCUGGAGUGAAAGGCGGGGGCUCAACCCCCGGACUGCUCUGGAAACUGGACGGCUGGAGUGCAGGAGAGGUAAGUGGAAUUCCUAGUGUAGCGGUGAAAUGCGUAGAUAUUAGGAGGAACACCAGUGGCGAAGGCGGCUUACUGGACUGUAACUGACGUUGAGGCUCGAAAGCGUGGGGAGCAAACAGGAUUAGAUACCCCAGUAGUC
rnacentral:rRNA from 1 species